UAAGACAGAGGGUGCUAGCGUUGUUCGGAAUUACUGGGCGUAAAGGGCGCGUAGGCGGCCCGUUUAGUCGGGUGUGAAAUCCCGGGGCUCAACCCCGGAACUGCAUUCGAUACUGGCGGGCUAGAGACCGGAAGAGGUGGGUGGAAUACCCAGUGUAGAGGUGAAAUUCGUAGAUAUUGGGUGGAACACCGGUGGCGAAGGCGGCUCACUGGUCCGGUUCUGACGCUGAGGCGCGAAAGCGUGGGGAGCAAACAGGAUUAGAUACCCUGGUAGUCCACGCCCUAAACGAUGUGUGCUAGAUGUCGGGGGACUUGUCUCUCGGUGUCGGAGUUAACGUUUUAAGCACACCGCCUGGGGAGUACGGCCGCAAGGUUA
rnacentral:rRNA from 1 species